rnacentral:rRNA from 1 species
AUUGAACGCUGGCGGCAGGCCUAACACAUGCAAGUCGCACGAGUGGCGGACGGGUGAGUAAUGUCUGGGAAACUGCCUGAUGGCUGGGGAUAACUACUGGAAACGGUAGCUAAUACCGCAUACCAUCAGAUGUGCCCAGCUGGGAUUAGCUAGUUGGUGGGGUAACGGGUCACCAAGGCGACGAUCCCUAGCUGGGCUGAGAGGAUGACCAGGCACACUGUAAAUGAGGAACGGUCCAGAGGCCAACGGGAGGCAGCAGGGGGGAAUAUUGCACAAUGGGCGAAGGGCUGAUGCAGCCAUGCGGAGUGUAUGAAGAGGGCCUUCGGGUUGUAGAGUACUUUCAGCGGGGAGGCGUUACCCGCAGAAGAAGCGCCGGCUAACUCCGUGCCAGCAGCCGCGGUAAUAC